ACAUAGCCCUGAUUGAGCUGAUAUCCUUUUUUUGUCGCCUUUUUUGGCGGAAAAAAAGAUAAAAGCGAAAGCAGGAAUGUAG
rnacentral:sRNA from 2 species